GGCUCGUUGGUCUAGGGGUAUGAUUCUCGCUUUGGGUGCGAGAGGUCCCGGGUUUACAUCCCGGACGAGCCC
rnacentral:tRNA from 1 species